CCUACGGGUGGCUGCAGUGAGGAAUAUUGGUCAAUGGGCGGAAGCCUGAACCAGCCAAGUAGCGUGCGGGAUGAAGGCCCUAGGGGUCGUAAACCGCUUUUGCACGGGGAUAACACCCUCCACUUGUGGAGGUCUGCAGGUACCUUGCGACUAAGGGCCGGCUAAUUCCAUGCCAGCAGCCGCGGUAAUACGGAAGGCCCGAGCGUUAUCCGGAUUCAUUGGGCUUAAAGGGAGCGUAGGGGGGCGUUCAAGUCAGCUGUAAAAUCGCGGGGCCCAACCGCGCCCCGCAGUUGACACUGGGUGCCUUGAGUUCACAACAGGCAGGCGGAAUUCGUGGUGUAGCGGUGAAAUGCAUAGAUAUCACGAGGAACCCCGAUUGCGAAGGCAGCCUGCCGGGGUGCGACUGACGCUGAGGCGCGAAGGUGCGGGUAUCAAACAGGAUUAGAUACCCUAGUAGUC
rnacentral:rRNA from 1 species